rnacentral:misc_RNA from 1 species
GGGCUAUGGAGGAGCCACGUGCAUUCCGACCGGUGAUCACGCAUCGUUUGGACUCGCCACAGAUAUCACCACUUACAUCACCGUCACGAUCACCGAACAGCAGAUCGCCAAUAAAUAAAUCUCCCAGCAGCCGCUCGCCGCUCCGGUCACCGCUCCAGUCGCCGUCUCGCUUAUCGCUUCGCUCGCCGCCCCGUUCCCC